rnacentral:rRNA from 2 species
AAAUUGAAGAGUUUGAUCAUGGCUCAGAUUGAACGCUGGCGGCAGGCCUAACACAUGCAAGUCGAACGGUAACAGGAAGCAGCUUGCUGCUUCGCUGACGAGUGGCGGACGGGUGAGUAAUGUCUGGGAAACUGCCUGAUGGAGGGGGAUAACUACUGGAAACGGUGGCUAAUACCGCAUAACGUCGCAAGACCAAAGAGGGGGACCUUCGGGCCUCUUGCCAUCAGAUGUGCCCAGAUGGGAUUAGCUAGUUGGUGAGGUAACGGCUCACCAAGGCGACGAUCCCUAGCUGGUCUGAGAGGAUGACCAGCCACACUGGAACUGAGACACGGUCCAGACUCCUACGGGAGGCAGCAGUGGGGAAUAUUGCACAAUGGGCGCAAGCCUGAUGCAGCCAUGCCGCGUGUAUGAAGAAGGCCUUCGGGUUGUAAAGUACUUUCAGCGGGGAGGAAGGUGUUGUGGUUAAUAACCGCAGCAAUUGACGUUACCCGCAGAAGAAGCACCGGCUAACUCCGUGCCAGCAGCCGCGGUAAUACGGAGGGUGC